GAUACAAUUUGAAUGUUGAGUUGAUGCAAAUAGGCAAAAAAAAUACAGCUAAGGUGCCCUAAACCAAGAGUUCCUUGUGAGUUCUAAUAUUAGGUAGUCUGAGUUGUUGCACACACAAAAGGCUCUACUCACACAGACUGCACAAUUCAGCUUUCAAAUUUGUCCAAAUAAAGUAAGGUAAAAAUGUACAGAAAGGGGGCUGCUUCAUCUACGACAGGGGGAACGACGGGUAGCUGACUACUCCAUUGAGUUUCAUAAAAUCGGCUCUGAAAUCAGUCAAGCAGCCAGUUGCCUUGCCCAUGCACCUGGGAAGGACCCGCCUCAACCCGGAGGAACGUUGUCAGCGUUGCAUGGAGAAUCGCUGCAUGUACUGCAGCAUGUACUGCAGAAUGUCGCUUCCUGCCCGGUAAAAGAAAAUGCCCACUAGUAAUCCGGAGGGCUCUGAUGGGCAAGGCUCUUCUCCCUGAAAUGCCCUCUCGACCAUUAAUGUAUGCACAAUUUAUUUGGGAUGGAAACAAACAGUGUCAGUUUUCAACUUGGGAGCGUACGCCAACUUUCUGUAUUACCAGUUGGCUCGUCAACUCAACAUCCCAUAGAAUCUCCCGGAGAUCCCCAUAGUGGCCAGUGCUCUUGACGGCCACCUUCUAGCCACUGUCAACUACUAUCCUGCUCCAGUGCACCUCAGCAUGUCAGGAGGAGGGUUAUUUUUUGUGGACAAGAAGAAUAGGUCUCUGCAUCCCUGAAUUGACUAUGGUGGACUGAAAACUGUGAAAAACAGGUACCUCCUCGCACUCAUUUCAUCCACUUUUGAAUUCCUCCAAGGUGCCAUUAUUUUCACCA